GACCUCAAAUCAGGCAAGAAUACCCGCUGAACUUAAGCAUAUCAAUAAGCGGAGGAAAAGAAACUAACAAGGAUUCCCCUAGUAACGGCGAGUGAAGAGGGAAGAGCUCAAAUUUUAAAUCUAUCUUGUUCUUCAAGGUCGAGUUGUAAUUUGAAGAAGCGUUUUCUUGGAUUUGCAGCCGGUAGAAGUUCCUUGGAACAGGACAUCAUUGAGGGUGACAAUCCCGUCUGUGACCGGUUGCUCGUUCAUCUAUGAUACGCUUUCAAAGAGUCGAGUUGUUUGGGAUUGCAGCUCCAAAUGGGUGGCAAACAUCACCUAAGGCUAAAUAUUGGCGAGAGACCGAUAGCGAACAAGUACCGUGAGGGAAAGAUGAAAAGAACUUUGAAAAGAGAGUUAAAUAGUACGUGAAAUUGUUGAAAGGGAAACGAUUGAAG
rnacentral:rRNA from 1 species